rnacentral:lncRNA from 1 species
GAAUUAUUAGCUUCUCUGUAUCUAACUCAAAAGACAAACUAAUACUCCUGCUUCACACUCUUCAUGUACAUGACCUGAAAAUGAUCAGUGUAUUAAGACUGUAACAAUAGAUUGUUUUGUGUACAUUAACAAAUUCUGGGUCUUAGCUUUACUAUUUUCUAGUUCUGCUUCCUCUGUAGUUUACAAAUUUUGUACGUUUGCCCUUUAUAUUGUGGGUCUCUUUGUUAAUUUUAUUGUUUUACCUUGGUACCCCAUUGUUUGAGUGAUGAUACCAGUAAAUGUAAUUAAGUCACGAUUCACAACUAGCUAUUGCAAAAAGCUCUAAACAGAUAUUUUCUUUGGAAUGCAUAGUUUUUAGAAUUAUUUGUCGUCUGUUUUCUUUCUCCAUCCUAACGGAAUUUAAGUUCAAUAUAUGUCACCACAUGGGGAUUAAAUUACACUUUACACAGUUUCUGUCAACCCCAAAUGCUUAAGUUUAAGAAUUGGUCAAAAAAGUUAUAUAGUCCAGUGAAUUUUUAGUUAAGUUUAUUUUCUUUUUAUACCAAUUCUAAUAUUUUAGCAAAUGGUGUAUAUUUAGUCCAUAGCAAAAACAAAGGUGAUUCUACCUACAUCAAAGAGCCAUUUAUCAAAAGUCCAUGAUGAUAAAAACACGUUUUUUUAAAAUACUUUUUUUUUUCUCAUGGGCAUUUUCGUUACUUAUUUCUCUUAUUAAAUGUAUUGAAUAUUGGCUAAAAAAAAAGAUAAUGAAAAGACUUUCUUGAGUCAAACAAAAAGGAAGUGGCUAGAGAUCAUCUUGAAGAAAGGAAGAAUUUCUAGUCAAGUAAAAGAAGUGGCUAUAGUGAAACCAUCAUCAAUGCUCUUUUCCUUUGGUCACAUAAUCUUCAAGAGCUUUGGCUAUAAAUAGGAGUGUUUCAAGCCAUUGUAAGACAUACCAAAUAUUUAGCUUAGUGCAUAUUCUCUCUUCUUGUUCUCUUAUUCUAAUUGUGUGAGAAAUACUUGAGUGAGAGUGGAAUUGUGUGUACUUGGGUUUUGGGAAGUGAGUGAAACACUUGUAGUUAUCUUUCAUCAUAGUGGAAUAAUUCUUGUUGCUCUUCAGCUGUUGACGUAGGCAAAUUGUCGAACCACAUUAAAUUUUUGGUGCCAUUUUCUCUAUUAUAUUUUCUCCAUGGGCCUUCAGCUCCAACAAACUGGUAUUAGAGCUCGUAGAGCUCUUGCAUGCUAAGUCGUACGAUCUAAAAGAAAAUUCUUAGUAUGCUUUAUGUUCACAACAUUGUUUGAUCUUACACACCAGAAAAGAAUUGUUCUUGUUACUAGAAAAGUAUAAAAGUGUGAAAGUGCAUGUCUAGGAAAGUUCUGCCUUAAGAAAGAUCUAGUAUUUAAGUGUGUCUCUUAAGACCCACCUCUCUUUCUUGGGAACUUUCCUAGUGUAUGUUCACGGAAUACGAUUAUCAUGGCGAGUGUUAAAUUUUAUUUGGAGAAAUUUAAUGGGAAAAUGUUUUCAAUCUCUGGCGAUUGAAGAUGAAAGCUCUACUAGUUCAUCAAGGCUUGGGCAAAGCCUUGGAAGGUAGAAACAAGUUACUAUAGAGUCUGACCGAGGAUCAUAAGGAUGAAAACUUGGAAAAAGUACAUAGUGCAAUUUUAUUGUGUUUGACAGAUGAAGUUCUACGAGAAGUAUCACAUGAAACUACAGUUGCUUCAUUAUGGUUGAAGUUGGAAAGCCUGUAAAUGACGAAGUCACUCAUCAAUAGGCUGUAUUUGAAGAAAAGAAUAUAUACUCUUCAAAUGUAGGAAGGAAAACCCAUAAAAGAUCAUAUGGAUGAAUUUAACAAAAUUAUUCUUGAUCUAAAGAAUAUUGAUGUUAAAAUUGAAGAUGAAGACCAAACAAUUCUACUAUGUUCCCUUCCAAGUUCUUACGAGCACUUCAUCGACACCAUGAUGUAUUUUUAUCAUGAUACUAACUGGACCUGCCAAAACUGUUCAUGGGCACCUUACCACAAUCUCAACCCAUUUCAUCCUUACCACUUUCCCAUUAAGCCAUACUCCAUUCCUCACUGCCCAAAAGAGCUUUAUGAUCCAGAAAACGAGGUAUCUGAUAAAAUAUGAUCAUAGCUGUUUAGUUUCGCGAUUGAAUUUUUACUUUAUGAUGCUUGGCGAUCUCAUAUCAUGGUUAUAAAUUGGCAAGAGAAAAACUAUUAGGUUUGCUGCAUUACUCUGCAACUUUUGUCUAUUCAAUCAUGCAGGGUUAUUCGAAUUUCACCUUUUGCAAAUAGAUUGUCAUUUGAUGCUCCUCCGGUUGUUCAGCGCCUCAGAUGCUUAGCAAAUUAUGAGGCUUUGCGAUUUUCAAGUCCUAUAUUGACUGUGGGUGAGUCUUUGGUGGCAAGAAUGAGGAAGCGUGGUGCAUUGAAUGGUGGCAAAUAUGUAUCCAUACAUCUUCGUUUUGAAGAGGUUGGUUUUGAUCAGAUAUGAUUGUUCCUUUAAAGCAUGAAUGGUGACAUGACAUAAUAAUCUUUGCAGCAACUGUUACAAUUUGCUUUCCGAUGUGCAGGAUAUGGUUGCUUUCUCUUGUUGUGUUUUUGAUGGAGGAAAACAGGAGAGAGAAGACAUGGCUGCAGCAAGAGAAAGAGGUUGGAAAGGGAAGUUUACAAGACCUGGAAGAGUCAUACGUCCUGGAGCAAUCAGGAUCAAUGGGAAGUGCCCCCUCACUCCACUGGAGGUAUUAUUUACUUAAAUUUUGAGUUAUCUUGCUCUGUUAGAAGAGGAACAAGAUUUAGUGAAAUAUUUGCUUUUUCUUUUUAAAAUUGUUUGACCAACCGAGAGCUCCAAAAGUUUCCUGGAAGGCUCUCUUUUGCUUCAUCACUUUAAUGUCAGCUAUCUAUACAGAAAAAAUAUAAACUUUUCCCACUGUGAUUUGCUUAAACUAUGAUCAGUGCCUUCUUAUAUAUCUUUAGGUUGGCCUUAUGCUGAGGGGAAUGGGUUUCACAAAGAACACACCUAUCUAUCUGGCAUCUGGAAAAAUAUAUAAUGCUGAGAAAACCAUGGCCCCACUACUGGAGAUGUUUCCUAAUUUGCAUACUAAGGAGACUCUAGCAUCUGAAGAGGAACUUUCUCUUUUUAAGGUACAGAUUCAUAUUUGACCCUACUCAUUCACUCCGUGAUUUAAUGCUAUGAUUUUGACUUGAGUUACUUCUAGAAUUAUUCUUCCAGGAUGGCUGCCAUAGACUACACUGUUUGUCUUCAUAGUGAGGUUUUUGUCACAACUCAGGGUGGUAACUUCCCUCAUUUUCUACUAGGCCACAGAAGAUACAUCUAUGCUGGACACUCCAAGACAAUUAAGCCUGAUAAGCGGAAGUUGGCAUUACUCUUUGAUAGUCCCAAUAUUGGGUAUGUACUGUGUGACCGUGCAUAUAUUAUUUUCUGUUCGAUACUGCUAUGAAAGUAGUGGAAAACAAAUUUCCCACCGGGGAUUUUUUCCUGUUCAAAAUUUAUAUGAAACUAAUUAAAUUUUGAAGUUUUAUUAUAAACAUUUAUUUUGGGGGACAGAAAAUGAAAUCUCCUGUAUAUAUGUGGAUACUAAGGAACAAUGCCAAUCUGGCCACCAACAAUUAUCUCAUAGAAUAAUAAUCUUACAUGCCAACUGUACCUCUGAACAUUUGAGUUCAACAUGGAAUUGCUAUCCGAGGCCAUCUAAAUUGAGGUCGAGCCAUUUUUACUCUGUUGAGAUUGCAUCACAUAGUAUUCCUCUUAAUACAAUGUGUUAGAUGUUCCCAGUUUUUAAAGUACUAUAUAGAAUUUUAUCGCAUAGGUAGUAAGUAUCUGUUUCCUUUACUUCAAUUACUUCACAGAUGGAAAAGUCUCAAGCGUCAUUUGCUGAGCAUGAGGUCACACAGUGAUUCCAAGGGGGUUGAGCUCAAAAGACCAAAUGACUCAAUAUACAGCUUUCCAUGCCCAGAUUGUAUGUGCCGUGCAAAUAGAACUGACGAUUCAAGACCCUCACCAGCAACUUAAUGUACUGACAGAAUUUGAUGGAUGUUUCUGUUUCUUGUGAUUUUGUGAGCAUGCCUUGCUCUUGACACCUUCCACUGGUAUUUUGAUUAUUUCAUUUACCCCCUUUGCAUCCCGUGGGAUGUCGUAAACCCGGUUUUUAGAGGUUAAGAAGAUUUUGUUGCAGGUCUCAUAAAUCUGAUUAUUUCAUGGGAAUGAAUCAUGAUGCUGAUUGACAGCUGGAAAAAAUGUUAAACUGCAGGAUUCUCUCCCAGAACAUUGACUGAGCUUUCUUUAGUGUAUUGAAUGUUGAAUUAUUAGCUUCUCUGUAUCUAACUCAAAAGACAAACUAAUACUCCUGCUUCACACUCUUCAUGUACAUGACCUGAAAAUGAUCAGUGUAUUAAGACUGUAACAAUAGAUUGUUUUGUGUACAUUAACAAAUUCUGGGUCUUAGCUUUACUAUUUUCUAGUUCUGCUUCCUCUGUAGUUUACAAAUUUUGUACGUUUGCCCUUUAUAUUGUGGGUCUCUUUGUUAAUUUUAUUGUUUUACCUUGGUACCCCAUUGUUUGAGUGAUGAUACCAGUAAAUGUAAUUAAGUCACGAUUCACAACUAGCUAUUGCAAAAAGCUCUAAACAGAUAUUUUCUUUGGAAUGCAU